rnacentral:tRNA from 1 species
GCCUCGAGUGGUGAAAUUGUAAGACACGCUAGACUAAGGAUCUAGUGGAGCAAUCCGUGCAGGUUCAAAUCCUGUCUUGGGCGCCA